rnacentral:rRNA from 1 species
AGAGCGAACGCUGGCGGCAGGUCUAACACAUGCAAGUCGAGCGCCCGUAGCAAUACGGGAGCGGCAGACGGGAUAGUAACACGUGGGAACGCGCCCUUCGGUUCGGAAUAACUCAGGGAAACUUGAGCUAAUACCGGAUACGCCCUUACGGGGAAAGAUUUAUUGCCGAAGGAACGGCCCGCGUCCGAUUAGCUAGUUGGUGAGGUAAUGGCUCACCAAGGCGACGAUCGGUAGCUGGUCUGAGAGGAUGACCAGCAUCACUGGGACUGAGACACGGCCCAGACUCCUACGGGAGGCAGCAGUGGGGAAUAUUGGACAAUGGGCGCAAGCCUGAUCCAGCCAUGCCGCGUGGAUGAUGAAGGCCUUAGGGUUGUAAAGUCCUUUUAACGGGGAAGAUAAUGACGGUACCCGUAGAAUAAGCCCCGGCUAACUUCGUGCCAGCAGCCGC